UAACUUGCGCGCGAGUCGUCGAGCUUUUGCGCAAACUCGAAGGCGAAAUGAAUGUGAAGGCACCUCCUCGAGAGGCGCUGACGGAUGAUCCCCGGCCAAUCGUCCACAGAGUCGGCGGGCGGCCGGGGCGCAAUCCGGGGGCAUCGAAGCGGCUUAUCGCCCGCUGGGUGCACCUAGAGCGCGCGCGUUGGGACCCGAAAGAUGGUGAACUAUGCCUGGCGAGGGCGAAGCCAGGGGAAACUCUGGUGGAGGCCCGUUUGGAUUCUGACGUGCAAAUCGAUCCUCGAAGCUGGGUAUAGGGGCGAAAGACUAAUCGAACCAUCUAGUAGCUGGUUCCUCCCGAAGUUUCCCUCAGGAUAGCUGGUGCUCGUCGUGAGACGACAAGUUUCAUCCGGUAAAGCGAAUGAUUAGAGGCAUUGGGGGCGAAAUGACCUCAACCUAUUCUCAAACUUUAAAUGGGUGAGAUGCCGAGCUUUCUCGAAUGAAGCUCCUGGCGUUUGAAUUGAAAGAGCACCAAGUGGGCCACUUUUGGUAAGCAGAACUGGCGCUGUGGGAUGAACCAAACGUCGAGUUACGGCGCCCGAAUAAACGCAAAUCUGAUCCCAUGAAGGGUGUCGGUUGCUCUAGACAGCAGGACGGUGGCCAUGGAAGUUGGAAUCCGACUAAGGAG
rnacentral:rRNA from 1 species